rnacentral:rRNA from 1 species
UGGGGAAUCUUGCGCAAUGCGCGAAAGCGUGACGCAGCAACACCGCGUGAGGGAAGACGGCCCUAGGGUUGUAAACCUCUUUCAGAUGGGACGAAGGUUGUCCGGUGAAUAGCCGAGAUAAUUGACGGUACCGUCAGAAGAAGCUCCGGCUAACUACGUGCCAGCAGCCGCGGUAAUACGUAGGGAGCGAGCGUUGUCCGGAAUCAUUGGGCGUAAAGAGCAUGUAGGUGGAUCAAUAAGUCUGCUGUGAAAGUCGAAGGCUCAACCUUCGAAAGCCGGUGGAUACUGUUGAUCUAGAGUACGGAAGAGGCGAGUGGAAUUCCUGGUGUAGCGGUGGAAUGCGCAGAUAUCAGGAGGAACACCAAUAGCGAAGGCAGCUCGCUGGGACGUAACUGACACU